rnacentral:rRNA from 1 species
CAGCAGCCACGGUAAUACGAAGGGGGCUAGCGUUGUUCGGAAUUACUGGGCGUAAAGCGCACGUAGGCGGAUAUUUAAGUCAGGGGUGAAAUCCCGCAGCUCAACUGCGGAACUGCCUUUGAUACUGGGUAUCUUGAGUAUGGAAGAGGUUAGUGGAAUUGCGAGUGUAGAGGUGAAAUUCGUAGAUAUUCGCAGGAACACCAGUGGCGAAGGCGGCUAACUGGUCCAUAACUGACGCUGAGGUGCGAAAGCGUGGGGAGCAAACAGGAUUAGAUACCCCCGUAGUCCCUGUCUCUUAUAC